GAUGAAGAACGUAGCGAAAUGCGAUAAGUAAUGUGAAUUGCAGAAUUCCGUGAAUCAUCGAAUCUUUGAACGCACAUUGCGCCCCUUGGUAUUCCGAGGGGCAUGCCUGUUCGAGCGUCAUAUUAACCACUCCCGCUUGCGGGGUCUUGGGCUUCGCCUCCGGGCGGGCCUUAAAAUCAGUGGCGGUGCCGUCGGGCUCUACGCGUAGUAAAUUUUCUCGCGAUAGGGUCCCGGUGGAUGCUUGCCAACAACCCCCAACUUCUUAAGGUUGACCUCGGAUCAGGUAGGGAUACCCGCUGAACUUAAGCAUAUCAAUAAGCGGAGGA
rnacentral:misc_RNA from 1 species